rnacentral:rRNA from 1 species
GUGAGUAGUUCAGAGUUUGAUCCUGGCUCAGGACGAACGCUGGCGGCGCGCCUAACACAUGCAAGUCGAACGGAGCUACGUUUUCUGAAGUUUUCGGAUGGACGAAGAUUUAGCUUAGUGGCGAACGGGUGAGUAACGCGUGGGUAACCUGCCUUUUAGAGGGGGACAACAGUUGGAAACGACCGCUAAUACCGCAUAAGACCACAGUACCGCAUGGUACAGUGAUCAAAGGAGCAAUCCGCUAAAAGAUGGGCCCGCGUCUGAUUAGAUAGUUGGUGGGGUAACGGCCUACCAAGUCGACGAUCAGUAGCCGGACUGAGAGGUUGAUCGGCCACAUUGGGACUGAGACACGGCCCAG